GAUGAAGAACGCAGCGAAAUGCGAUAAGUAAUGUGAAUUGCAGAAUUCAGUGAAUCAUCGAGUCUUUGAACGCACAUUGCGCCCCCUGGUAUUCCGGGGGGCAUGCCUGUCCGAGCGUCAUUGCCGCCCUCAAGCGCGGCUUGUGUGUUGGGCCCCCGCCCCCCGGCUUCGGGGGGCGGGCCCGAAAGGCAGCGGCGGCACCGCGUCCGGUCCUCGAGCGUAUGGGGCUUCGUCACCCGCUCUGUAGGCCCGGCCGGCGCCCGCCGGCGACCCCAAUCAAUCUUUCCAGGUUGACCUCGGAUCAGGUAGGGAUACCCGCUGAACUUAAGCAUAUCAAUAAGCGGAGGA
rnacentral:misc_RNA from 1 species